rnacentral:rRNA from 1 species
UUAGCUAGUUGGUGGGGUAAAGGCCUACCAAGGCGACGAUCCAUAGCUGGUCUGAGAGGAUGAUCAGCCACAUUGGGACUGAGACACGGCCCAAACUCCUACGGGAGGCAGCAGUGGGGAAUAUUGGACAAUGGGCGCAAGCCUGAUCCAGCCAUGCCGCGUGAGUGAUGAAGGUCUUAGGAUUGUAAAGCUCUUUCACCGGAGAAGAUAAUGACGGUAUCCGGAGAAGAAGCCCCGGCUAACUUCGUGCCAGCAGCCGCGGUAAUACGAAGGGGGCUAGCGUUGUUCGGAAUUACUGGGCGUAAAGCGCACGUAGGCGGAUAUUUAAGUCAGGGGUGAAAUCCCAGAGCUCAACUCUGGAACUGCCUUUGAUACUGGGUAUCUUGAGUAUGGAA